rnacentral:rRNA from 1 species
UACGGAGGGAGCUAGCGUUGUUCGGAAUUACUGGGCGUAAAGCGCGCGUAGGCGGCUUUGUAAGUUAGAGGUGAAAGCCCGGGGCUCAACCCCGGAAUUGCCUUUAAGACUGCAUCGCUUGAAUCCGGGAGAGGUGAGUGGAAUUCCGAGUGUAGAGGUGAAAUUCGUAGAUAUUCGGAAGAACACCAGUGGCGAAGGCGGCUCACUGGACCGGCAUUGACGC